rnacentral:tRNA from 1 species
GCGGUCGUGGCGGAAUUGGCAGACGCGCUAGAUUCAGGUUCUAGUGGGGUAAUACCCGUGGAGGUUCGAUCCCUCUCGACCGCA